CGGAGAGUAGCGGCAGGGGGUUGGCGGUCGUGACCAUAAUCGCCGCUAAUCAAGAAGGAUCCUGGCAGAGAUGUGUGGCGGUCAGGUAAAAGCCACAAAACUCCCCUGGAUAGCGGCUGGGGAGUGAACACCGCUGCUAAAUUAGGCAGUAUAUCUUCGGGCUUACUCGUUUCACUUCCUGGUGUGAACAAAGCGGGAGAAGAGGCGCCAAACAAAACCACCCCACCCGGCGACUUCUUCAAUAAACGCCACUAGAAACCCGCGAGUUGAGUUUGGUAGCGCGCCAACCAAGAGCGGGAGCACAGCCGAGAAAUAUCAAGGAAGAACCCACCCAGAAACCCCCAAUUUUUCAAGCUUUCCCCUAUCAUCCACAAUUCCUGAAGCUCAUACCCUCCCCUGUCGAGUUGCGCAGCUGCCUUCGCGACCAGUCCCCUGGCACUGGUUAGUCCUGAC